UAUCAAUAAAAAAUAACCUCGAUAACCCUAUUUAAAUUAGGUUCGAGUUGAGCGCAGCGAAACAACAAUGCGGCGCUUGCGACGCGUUGGCCCGCAGGGCGAGGAACGCAGUGACGAGUCAUCCUUCCCCCGCCA
rnacentral:sRNA from 1 species